rnacentral:misc_RNA from 1 species
CAACCUUCCAAUUCCAAGUCAACAAAAUUGGGGCUCAAGCCAUGCAAACUACAACUUGUUACCAGUCCUGGGUCUAUGUGCUCCCAAUGCUAAUCAGUUGGAUUCAUCACACCGAAAUUCAUCAAGAUCCAAUAAUAGACAAAGNNNNNNCCGAGUUUCCAUUUAGUCUACCUUCAUCUGGAACCUUGAUUGAGACAGAUUUAAAAAGGCAGGAAAUUACCCCAGACAAAUCAAAAUAUAAAGAUCCAUCAGCAGAAGUCAUGCAAGAGCAUCUCAAAAGUACUCUGUCAGAUGGUUGGAUCCCAUUUAGUCCGGAAAAAAUGGUGCUUCCAAAUUUACCUUUUGAGGAGAAAUUGAUGCCCAGAUUCUCAAUUCCUGCUAAAAGCAUGCCAACUCCACACCCUGACUUAUUACCUAACUUAUCGCUUGGUGGCAGAUUUGAAGCUGUAAAUGAUUCUAUGCGAGACCUUCCAGCAAUGCCUUCGUUGCCCAAUUUGAAAUUCCCCUCUCAUGAUGCAGCAAUAUACAAUAAGCUAGACAAGGAAGUGCCUCCCAUUCUAGGUUUGGGUCAGAAACCAUCUACCUUUCCACCAUUUCCUGAAAACCAUAGGAAGGUACUUGAAAAUAUAAUGAUGAGAACUGGGUCUGGAUCAACUACCUUGUAUAGAAAGAAAUCAAAAAUAGAUGGCUGGUCUGAAGAUGAACUUG